UAUUUAAAUCAUUAAAAAUAUUUUGAUCUGGAUCUAUAUGGACCUAUGCUAUGGGGAUGAUGGCCAGUCCUGAUGUCUGAGUGAUA